rnacentral:rRNA from 1 species
ACCUAGUCCCACCACGCCCCCAAGGGUAUUCAGCAGUGAUAAAUAUUGUAUAUAAGCGCUAGCUUGAUUCAGUCACAGAGAAGAGAGCCGGCCAACUUGGUGCCAGCCGCCGCGGCUAGACCAACUGGACUCAAAUUGAUGACCUCCGGCGUUAAGCGUGAUUAAAGCUAUAUUAAAUUAGAGUUAAACCUGCAUUUAGUAGUGAAAAGCUCGUGACAGGGAGACCCAAAAACGAAAGUUACUCUAAUCCACUUGAAUACACGACAGCUAGAAAACAAACUGGGAUUAGAUACCCCACUAUGUCUAGCCGUAAACUAUAAACUCACACCAACCACGCCAGGGAAUUACGAGCUUUAGCUUAAAACCCAAAGGACUUGACGGUGCCCCACCCAGCUAGAGGAGCCUGUUCUAUAAUCGAUGAUCCCCGCUUAACCUAACCCUUUCUUGCUUUAUCAGCCUGUAUACCUCCGUCGUAAACCCGCCAUAUGAAUGUUUUAGCGGAUUCAAUGGCCUUAGCCACCAGCACGUCAGGUCAAGGUGCAGCCCAAUGAAAGGGGGCAAGCAAUGGGCCUACAAAUUUCUAAUCUAGAACAAUACGAAACUACUGCAUGAAAACACAGUCAUGAAGGAGGGAUUUAGGUAGUAAAAAGAAAUCAGCGAGUUCUUUUUUAACAUGGCCCUGGGGCGAGUACACA